UAGGCGAGGGGGCUGGGGGCUGUCGGGCUCGUACCCGAGGAAGUUCCGCCCACCGCACCGGGGCCGCGGUGCCGCAAGGCACCUCCCGAGAGGGAGGGCAACGGCACAGAAACGACACGUCCCUCGGGGGAUGUGGAUGAAAGCGGAGAAGGCUCCUGGCGACAGGAGCCGAGCUAACCCGCAGACAAUCCCGAGGGGAGCGGUGAAACGGCCGUCCCGCGGGGUGCAAGGCCGAGUUAGGGCCAAUGAGUUCCCGGUGUGAGGCCCGUGGUAGGCCGCUUAGUCGAAUGCCCCCGCAGGUACAGAAGGCGGGCUAUAGCCCCCUCGCCUA
rnacentral:RNase_P_RNA from 1 species